GGGCCCGCACAAGCGGUGGAGUAUGUGGUUUAAUUCGAUGCAACGCGAAGAACCUUACCAGGGUUUGACAUCCUGCGAAUCUCUUGGAAACGAGAGAGUGCCUUCGGGAACGCAGUGACAGGUGGUGCAUGGCUGUCGUCAGCUCGUGUCGUGAGAUGUUGGGUUAAGUCCCGCAACGAGCGCAACCCUUGUCAUUAGUUGCUACGCAAGGGCACUCUAAUGAGACUGCCGGUGACAAACCGGAGGAAGGUGGGGACGACGUCAAGUCCUCAUGGCCCUUAUGGGUAGGGCUUCACACGUCAUACAAUGGUUGGUACAGAGGGUUGCGAACCCGCGAGGGGGAGCUAAUCCCAAAAAACCAAUCGUAGUCCGGAUUGCAGUCUGCAACUCGACUGCAUGAAGUCGGAAUCGCUAGUAAUCGCGGAUC
rnacentral:rRNA from 1 species